GAUGAACGCUGGCGGCGUGCCUAAUACAUGCAAGUCGAACGAAGUCUUCGGACUUAGUGGCGAACGGGUGAGUAACACGUUGGUACCUACCCCGAAGUGGGGAAUAACUGCCCGAAAGGGUGGCUAAUACCGCAUAAUACCGCAAGGUUAAAGCAGUAAUGCGCUUCGGGAGGGGCCUGCGUCCCAUUAGCUAGUUGGUAGGGUAAUGGCCUACCAAGGCGACGAUGGGUAGCUGGAUCGAGAGGUUGACCAGCCACACUGGGACUGAGAUACGGCCCAGAGUCCUACGGGAGGCAGCAGUAAGGAAUCUUCCAAAAUGGACGAAAGUCUGAUGGGGCAACGACGCGUGCAGGAUGACGGCCUUCGGGUUGUAAACUGCUUUUAUACGGGAAGAUUAUGACGGUACCGUAUGAAUAAGGACCGGCUAACUACGUGCCAGCCGCCGCAGUAA
rnacentral:rRNA from 1 species